AUUGAACGCUGGCGGCAUGCUUUACACAUGCAAGUCGAACGGCAGCACAGGGAGCUUGCUCCCGGGUGGCGAGUGGCGCACGGGUGAGUAAUACAUCGGAACGUGUCCUGUUGUGGGGGAUAACUGCUCGAAAGGGUGGCUAAUACCGCAUGAGACCUGAGGGUGAAAGCGGGGGAUCGCAAGACCUCGCGCAAUUGGAGCGGCCGAUGCCCGAUUAGCUAGUUGGUGAGGUAAAGGCUCACCAAGGCGACGAUCGGUAGCUGGUCUGAGAGGACGACCAGCCACACUGGGACUGAGACACGGCCCAGACUCCUACGGGAGGCAGCAGUGGGGAAUAUUGCACAAUGGGCGCAAGCCUGAUGCAGCCAUGCCGCGUGUAUGAAGAAGGCC
rnacentral:rRNA from 1 species